rfam:Pisolithus tinctorius Marx 270 unplaced genomic scaffold scaffold_39, whole genome shotgun sequence.
GCCCGCUUGGCUCAGUUGGCUAGAGCGUAGGUCUCAUAUCACACGAUAUGACGUAAUCGUGGAUUGCGUAAUCCUGAGGUCGCAAGUUCGAGCCUUGCAGCGGGCA